UAACUCUUGCUGCUUACAUGGAGAAUAUUAUGCCACAUGAUUGGUUGGUUAAUAAUUUCCUAUCUGCUACCAACAGUUCUUUUAGUCAAGUUGCUAAUGUUGAUAAAAUUGCUACUUCUUUGUGGAUUAUUUGUAAGGUAGCUGCCAUGGAGUUAGAUGUAUCCCCACAGCAGCAGUAGAUGCUGAACAAGCCGAAGCACCGGCAUUACUGAAAGAAAUCAAGUGGGCGAAAGAAGUAGGGCUAAAAGAAGUCCAAUUUGAAGGUGAUUGUAACAAUGUAGUGCUAGCUGAGCUGUCAAUAGAACCAGAGGAGCAGUUCACUGGAUCUAUAAUAAUAUCAUAGAAGACUGCAUUUAUUUACUUAGGCAAUUUGAAUUUUUGUCAUGUUCUUAUGUUAAAAGAACAGUCAAUAAUACAACACAUGUAGCUGCAAAACUAUCUCUAGAGUUCUCUGUCAAAACAGAUUGGAAUAACUCAUAUCCUACUGGAAUUGAGAACUGUAUUCAAGCAGAUAAAUCUUCUAUUUAAUCAUCAAUACAACCCAUUUUCGUAUUAAAAAAAAGGUUCUGAUCUUUUGUUAUCUUGGAAAUUUGGAAAUAAAAUCUUUUCUUUCUUA